rnacentral:snoRNA from 1 species
UGGAUCUCUGAUGACCACUGGUGCCGUAUGAGUUGUGGAUCAUGACUAUAGAACAUAGGAGCUGACUUGAGUCAU